rnacentral:rRNA from 1 species
ACGGAAGGCGGCAGUGAGGAAUAUUGGUCAAUGGGCGGAAGCCUGAACCAGCCAAGUCGCGUGAAGGAUGAAGGUAUUAUGUAUUGUAAACUUCUUUAGCAGUGGAGUAAUAAGGAGGAUGCAUCCUCUGAUGCAAGUACACUGAGAAUAAGGAUCGGCUAACACCGUGCCAGCAGCCGCGGUAAUACGGAGGAUCCGAGCGUUAUCCGGAUUUAUUGGGUUUAAAGGGUGCGCAGGCGGCCAUUUAAGUCAGCGGUCAAAUCGUGAGGCUCAACCUCAUCCCGCCGUUGAUACUGGAAGGCUUGAUUGCGGUCGAGGUAGGCGGAAUUCGUCGUGUAGCGGUGAAAUGCAUAGAUAUGACGAAGAACACCGAUUGCGUAGGCAGCUUACCAGGCCGUAAAUGACGCUCAUGCACGAAAGUGCGGGGAUCGAACAGGAUUAGAUACCCUGUA